rnacentral:rRNA from 1 species
UACGGAGGGGGCAAGCGUUAUUCGGAAUUAUUGGGCGUAAAGGGCGCGUAGGCGGCUAGAUGUGUCAAAGGUGAAAUCCCUCGGCUCAACUGAGGAACUGCCUUUGAAACUGUCUGGCUUGAGGCCGGGAGAGGGUAGCGGAAUUCCCAGUGUAGCGGUGAAAUGCGUAGAUAUUGGGAGGAACACCUGCGGCGAAGGCGGGUUGCUGGGCUGAUACUGACGCUGAGGCGCGAAAGCCAGGGGAGCGAACGGG